rnacentral:lncRNA from 1 species
AGAGACAGCGUGGAGCGGAGGAGGCCUGCAACGACAAGUUUGGAGAAAAAGAUGCCGUUUGUAGACGAAGCGGUUGAUGCGAAAGCUGACGACUUCAUCAACAGGUUUAAGCAGCAAUUAAAGUUGCAGAGGCUGGACUCUCUUCUGCGUUACAGAGACAUGCUAAGAGGCAAAUAAUAAUUAAAAAAAAAAAAGAGGAUAAAUUUUGUACAAACCACCCACUUUCUGUUUAUAUUUCUCAGCUAGCUUUGUUUACUUGCUGGGCCUGUACUGUUGUUUCUUCAAGAACGAAGACGCUGAUAGGAUCGGAAUGGAAGAACGCAGAAGCAAAAGGCUUACAUGUGUGUCGCUGUUGGAUGUGACGAAGAGCAGUGCACCGAAAGAUGAAACUGGAAUGACUGAAAUGAUUUCAGUUUUUUUUUUUUUUUCUGGCCUUUGCUUUUGCUGAUGACGAGGAUAUUUCCGAUAUUUUGUUUAUUUGCUAUUGUCUUUAUUAGGCUCGUCAAUAAGAUGGUCAAGGGUUGUAUUUGUGUGGACUGAUUGUUAUAAAAGUUGGGUUCUAAUUUGAAGGCCAUAAUAAUCAACUUGCGCCGGCAUGUCACGUGGGUACUAGGAAACUAAAAAUGAUUAGUAACUCGUGUUAAUAUUAAUUAGAAAAUAUUGAAAUUAGAAUACUAAAAUAAAAAAAAUAUUGAGAUUAGUUACACUGCUAUACAAGUAAUUGUUCCCAUUACUCUAAAAAAACAUUAUUAGCCAGCUAAUCUAAUAUUUCUCACGACAAAAAAAAAAAAAAAAAAAAAAAAAAAGGAAAAAGGACAGUGCAAUCAAGACCACGUGAAUUUACCUGUGCAUAAAAGUCUUCAUGGGCCUGGGAAUUUCCGGCCUGAUAUAAAAAUAUAGGAUCAAAUAUAUAUUUCUACUGUAUCAUAUGGCAAACCAAUAAUUAAUUGUCAUUUGAAAAAAUUACCACACUUUAUUAUUUUUCUUCCAAUAAAAAAAAAUAUUUACUUGCGCCAAUUGGUUUUAUUGAAUUUACUGUAUGUUUAUUUUUUGUACUAUAAAGCUACGCUGUCUAUUGGCGUAGCCUAAAGUCAUAUUGACAAUGAUAUUCAUCUUCGAUGGUUAGGUAAUUUAUCGGGUGGAAUCAAAAUAAAUUGUGUUCGUUUUUCAACUCUACUGUCCUUUUCAUUUGAAUUUUUGGACCUAGGACUUAGUUGCUCAUCUUUCACUUUUACCAUCUUCUUAUAAUUUAUAACAGUAAGGUCAGUUCCUUUGGCAAUUGGCAUAUCUGUCUACAAUGUAUGAUUCCAUGGAUCAUGAUUAGAACUUUUUUCACGAUUUACAAUCCUUUAGUGUCUGUUUAAGUGAUUUUCAUUUACUAAAUAAAAUGGAUAGAUUUAUAUUAAAGAAAAAGGGGUUUAACAUGGUAAGUAAACCAACGAGAAGUCGGAUUCACUGGUGUAGAUUGCAUUUCCAGAAGAAUUUUACUUUUUAUUCCUAUUUUAUAUCAGUUCAAAGAAAAAAAUUUAAUAUUUUAUAUAUUUUGUAAUUGAAUGUGAAAAAUGAGUCUAAUUGAUCAAGAAUAGAUUUCUAUUUCAUGUGUAAUAAUAAAAGGAGUUGAGGUUUUCAGGAUGUAAUUCAUUGGAGAAAAUUUUAAAACAUUCUAACCGAAAUCACCAGAUUCGAUAACGAUGUGCUUUCAAAUCUUCAAAUUCAAAAUCCAGCAAUCAAUGAACUCUCGCAGCAUUAACGCUAUUCAUCUUCCAUAGACAAGAUGAUACCUGGACAGUACAGUACUGGUCGCGUCACAUCUGAAAAUUAAAGUUAACAUAAAGAACAUAGAACGGGAAUAUUAUUAUUUCGUUCCUGACUGGAUAUUUAUAUAUAUAUUUAUAACAUUUCUGAUAUUUACUACCGUCAUAUUAAUUGGUCAUUCUGUAAAAAAAAAUAUACUUUUUCCGUUAAUUUUGAGAGGAAAAAACGAAAUUAUCCUUUGGAAAAAUAAUUAUUUCGUUCCUGAGGUUUUCCAUAAUUAUUAAAUAGUCCCCAACAUUUAUACAAAUAUUUAUAAAUCCCUGAGGUUUACUUCCGUCAUAUUAAUUGGUCAUUCUAUAAAAAAAAUACACUUUUUCCGUUCAUUUUGAGCGAAAAAGAUGAAAUUAUCCUUUCUAAAUUUUCAUUGACAUUAGUGUCAGUCACUUUCCUCUAAAAUGCCUGAAACUCAAAUUUUCAACAUCUUUCUCAACCCAAUGCGGUCUUCAUUGCCACCACUGUGUCUCUGUCAAGUAUCAUCUCCAUAAGCAGAUCACCAACAAAACUAAAAGGGAAAAUAUUUAUAACGUCUCUGAGGUUAUUUUCGUCAUAUUACUUAGUUCUUCCGUCCAAAAAACACACUUUUUGGUGUUAAUUUUUAAUAGAAUGACCAAACUAAUCUAAAUCCUCUAAUCAAGGAGAGAGAGAGAUAAAUGGAUGAAGGGUGAUAAUGGCUCGAUUGAGUUCGGAUGUUGGAUUUUAGUUUUGGUGGUGAUCUGGUUAUGGAGAUGAUAGUUUUCAUUGACACGUUGGUGGCAAUAAAGCCCGCGUUGGGUUGAGAAAGAUGGUGAAAAUGUGAGUUUUAGGUAUUUUAGAGGAAAGAUAUUAAUAAUGUCAAUGAAAACUUAUAAAGGAUAGUUUCAUAUUUUCCACUCAAAAUUAAAGGAAAAAGUGUAUUUUUUUUAUGGAAGGACCAAUUAAUAUGACGAAAGUAAACCUCAGGGACGUUAUAAAUAUUUAUAUAAAUGUCGGGGUCUACUUAAUAAUUAUGGCAAACUUCGGGGAUGAAAUAAUUAUUUUUUCAAAGGAUAAUUUCGUCUUUUCUUCUCAAAAUUAACGGAAAAAGAAUAUUUUUUUUACGGAAAGACCAAUUAAUAUGACGGUGGCAAACCUCACGGAUGUUAUAAAUAUAUAUAUAAAUAUCGAAGACUACUUAAAUAAUUAUGUAAAAUCUCAGGGACGAAAUAAUAAUUUUCCCAAUUUAGACAUUUCACGGGCGAACAACAAGAGGUCUGGGUGGUGGUGUAGUGGGUUAUCACGCUAAUCUCGCACUCUAAAGGACCUACUCAGACAUUCCAGUUAUUUCAUGUGCUGUUACUACUGUAAUCUUCCACAACUGUUUUAACGUUCUCUAAAUGGGCCAGCUUCAGCCACACACUCUCUGGUCUCUGCUCUUAAUUGUGAAAUAAUCUUAUUAACUUUGACCCAUUUCCCUUCAAAUAACUCUUAAAACAAAAUGUUAUAUAUUUUUCCAUUGUCGUCUGCCUCUGAAAAGAGAAGGGUAGUAGUUGUUUACCAGUGUUCUCCAGGUGGUUCCUUGCUCUUUGCAAGAGCAUGUUCUUCCUGAUAGGAUUCCAUCACUUGGCCCAUGGACAAAAUUACACCUUCUUUCUUCUACGUUGGCUGACGAUUGUAUCCAUUUUAGGAAAAAAUUACAAAAUUAAAGCGUAAAAAUAUUGUAUAUACUCACCUUUCAUUGUUAAGUUUAUGCUCAAAUGCUUGAUUUAUAAUUUAAAAGAUUCAGCAAUUCAGGUUCUAAUACUCCAUCUUUUCAGAAAUUAUUGUUUUGCCAUAUAAUUUUAAGAGUAUUUAAUUUGACAAUAUCAUUAUAAAAUACAAAAUCUUGGAAACACACCUUAGAAUCAGAAGCAUCAAGUUGAGGCUGCAACGGCGACAAUGUCAAUAAAGAAGAGAUUGGCGUCUCUGGCCGCUGAUCUUGUUCUCGCCGUCGAAAAAACAUUAGUAGUGGAUUAACAGCACAGAGUUGCUUCUAAUUAAAACUGUAUUUGAGACUUGAGGUUAUGGACAAUGCCUAGGCAGCCAUGGACAGGGUCAUUAUGCCUCGCCAUUACUUUCUAUCAAGAUCGACUCAGCAGCUGCUUUUCUGUGCUGUGGCUGCACCGAAUUCAGGAUUUUCAAAAUGUUGCUCACGCCAAAUAGCUUGUGAGCAUUUUGGAAUUCAGCAUAUCUAUUGGCAGAAAAAUACGGAGCUAAUUCACAACUGUCAUUGCAUCUUUUCCUUUGGUGCCUACAAGAGGCACAAGCCUGAGAAAUUCCUGUGCUCACAUUGUCUUUCUUCAUUUUACUUGUAUCCUGACCUGAGAAAAUUUAAAUUUAUACUAAUAAUAAUAGAUUGACACAGAAAUAAAAGAUUUGAUGCGUCAUUUUUUUAUAUAGAAAUUUAAGCAAUUAAAUAAUCGGAUAUUAAAAUAUUGGAUGUGUUUUAGAAGAUUUUUUAUAUCUAAAUUUUAACGGGGUUAGAUAUUACAUAGUUUGACAAAACUUCCAUUUUUUUGAAAAUUAGUUUCCUUAUAAAGUUGAAAGUAAAACUUGUAAGACAAAUUUUCAACUAUUCAUUCCAAUUUUAUUCGAAUUGAAAUAUAUUUUACAUGCACUUAGCAAUAAGCUAUUGCGCUGUGUCCUAACCCGUUUAAGAUUUUACUGAUUGUUAUUUUUGUAGUUGUUAUUUUGUAGUUUGUAUUUUUAUUUAAAAUUCAAGACAAAUAUUUGAUAGUUUAACCUUUAAUUUCACUUUGAACUUUUUAAAUAGUUGCAACAUCACUCUAAAUCGAUUUUUGCAUUAUGAGCACUCUGAACUUAUCAAUUUAGUUGUAAUUAUACCCUAAUUUGAAUUAAUAUCCAACUCAUUAUUUUUGUAUCUUAAAAUUGGUUCAAUUUUAAAAUAAAUGCUCAAUCUUGAUUUUUUUUAUUUAUUAUAUGAAUAUUUAAAUUUGAUUUUAUUAUUUAUUAUUUAAAUAUUUGGGUAUGGAGUCUAUUUUUUUAAAUUAUUUUAAUCAAAUUCCAAUCUUAGUUUACUUAUAAAGUGUAAUUGCAAUAAAUUGGCAAAUUUAUUGUGUUGUAAUUACACCUUAAAAUUAAAUUAUACUAUAAUUACAACUAAGUUAAUAAAUUCAGAAUGUUCAUAAUAUAAAGAUCAAUUUAAAGUAAAAUUACAACUAUUUAAAAAUUGGAUUGAAAUUGAAGGUUAGCUGCAUUUGAUUGUUACUUCGAUUGGAAUCACUGUCUCGCUGAUUUUUUUUUUUAAAAUAAAUUUUGAUAUGAAAACUGAAGCGCGUGUGAAGUGAAAGCUUCCCGCACGGAAGCAAUAAUUCUUCGCGAAACUCGCUUACCAGCUGCGUUUUUGUAGAAGAAGAUUUUAAAAGAAAAAAACAGAAAAUAAAUAAAUAAAUACUUCGUUUUUCGAUUUAAGACUGGAAUAACAAGUGUCUUCAAGAAUUGCGUUGUCGAAACGCCGCGUUUCCUAGUAUAUACACUCCACCCACAAAGAGAGAGAUUCCGGUGGUUGAGCUCUAAUGGCGGAGAAGCCCCAACCUGUCCGCGUUCUGUAUUGCUCAGUUUGCAGUUUACCCGCAGAGUACUGCGAAUUCGGCCCCGAUUUCGCGAAAUGCAAGCCCUGGUUGAUCCAAAACGCCCCUGACCUGUACCCCGAUCUCAUCAAAGGUUGCCCUAUUCCCUAUCCCUAAAUCACCUUUUAAUUUCUCUUUUUCUAUUUCCUUAUUAGAUAAAUAAUUUUAAUUAAUUUUUUUAUUAUUCCUGCAGAGGCAAAUGCCAAAGAAGCUGAUAAGGUUGCCGACCAGUUACAAUCCACUGGUAUCUCAUCGGGCGGUGCUGCUGCUACUCCUUCAGGUGACCUACUUUGGUCUAUGCAAUACAUGUUUAGAUACUUAUAUAUGAGCUUUUAGGUGUUUAACUAUUCAAACUGAUUCUUGGAAUGGAUUUUAUUUAUCUGUAUCUAAUUAUUGGAAUAGUGAAGAAAGAUGAAAUGGUAAUACAAAUAAUAUUUAUCAGUUCAUUGUGACUCAUUUAGGCUAGUUUAGUCGAAGUAAUGUGUUGAUAGCGUUUGAUUUUGGCAUUUAGGCACAAACAGUAAAAUUAGGGAAUGUUCUACUGGCUGAAAAUGAAGGGAAGCACAAAUAUUAGUUUGGUGCUAACUCUCAAGAGAGAGACUGUGUGAAAAAAGAAGAUUGCUCCUUGUGAAGCAUGGAAUCCAAAUUCGAUCAAACAUGAAUCUGAUUUACAACUGUUGCCACAUGUUUUCCUUUUUGCUAUCAUACAUAAAGAGCAUGGCUGUGAUUGUUAAUCAGUUAAUGAGUUAUGUGUGGUUCAAGAAUUUAAUUGGUUAAAGAGUUUACUCUGCUGUCAAUUUUUAUUUCAAAUUUUUGUGGUUCUGUUAUUAGGUAGUUCUUUUUCAAAAUCCUUUUUUUACCUAUUUUAUGCUUUGCUUACUUCUUGCUAUUAUUCAACAGAAUGUAAAUGGUGGCAAAGGAUUCAUAUAGCCGACCCCAACUAGUUUGGGACUAAGGCUUAGUUGCUGUUGUUGUUAUUAAGUUUUAAUUGAUAUCUGAGUUUUGUGACUUAUAUGUAACUAUGAUACUCUGGUGUCUGUGGCUGCAGGGAGUACUUCUGCUUCUAAAGAGGAAGAAGUGAAACGUCUUCCUGGUGGGAAGAUAAAGAAGAAAGUAAGAAUUCAGAAUGUUUCCCCUUUUCAAAUUAUUGAAAAUCUGCAGUUAACGAUUUUUGGUAUUUUUAAACAUUGUAAUCGAUAUUAGUAUAAUUGAUUUCUGCAUUGAAUCUGUUCUUUCAGGAGAAGCAAGAAGUUGUUAUUGAAAAAGUCACACGUAACAAGAGGAAAUGUAUCACCACUGUGAAAGGGCUGGACCUGUUUGGUGAGCAAUUUUUGCUGCUUCAAUCCUUUUCUUGUCAUUUGUUUUCUUGUUGUUAGCCCCCUCAACACACAUUUCCUCUCUCAUGGCAAUGGUGGUUUAGGUGUUAAACUUAGUGAUGCAUCAAAGAAACUUGGGAAAAAGUUUGCUACUGGAGCCUCUGUUGUUAAGGUAUGUAAUGUUUAUUGGGGGUAUGUGUUUCUUUUAUUGUUUCAUUGCUCAUGUUGUAUGCUUUCUGAUGGUUCAGGGUCCAACUGAGAAGGAGCAGAUUGAUGUGCAAGGAGACAUAGCCUAUGAUAUUGUGGACUUCAUUACAGAUACCUGGCCUGAUGUAAGAUAUUCAUCAUACUCUCCUUCAUAAAUUUUGUGUUAGCCUGUUAGGCCGCUCUCCUUGGUUGUAUUCAUAUCUUUACUAACCUAACUGUGAUUUCCCUUGGCUACUUCACAUUUUGGCUGGGCAUGCCAUUUUAUAAAAGGAACUUCUUCUUUGAGGAGAUUGAAUGGAUAUGAAAGACACUAAUUGCAGCCAAUGUUUUCCAUGCAGACUAUAUUUUAGUUCUCGUAAUUUUGAUUCUUGAUAAGAUUUACUCCCUUUGACAUACCUAGGAACUAAUGAGAUAAACACUAGAAAAGUAGACAUUUAGACACAUGCAGUUAUAAAAUUUAGAAUUUUGCUGUUAUUUAUAUAUUUAUAUUGGGAGGUUUGGGAUUAAGAGGAUGGUCAUUGUUUCAUUCGCUGGAAUAUCUAAAACGUUCCUUAUCAGCUAGGAAAACACGACACAGACUUGUCUCAUUCUCUGUUUCUGUUUAAGUCAAAGAUUUGUCUAUGGAAAGGUUAAAGGUCUUGAGGGUCUAAACUUCACGGAGUCAUAACUCCUCUGUUGAACAGUUGUAGUAAAGUAGAGAGGAAAAAUAGAGGCAGUCUUCAGACUUCCCAUGGGCAAGACCUACUUAUAUAGAGUCAAAGUUUCAAGCACAAUACAGACUUAAAGAGUCAAAGUUUGGCCCUCACUUUUUGGUGUGCUGUAGUCUUCACAUUUUCUAUGCUACUGUAGUUUUUAGAUGUUUGAUUAUGCAGGUUUUGAUUUAUUUUUUUUUUCCACCCUCCAUUAAGUCAUGACUCGUACAAUUUGUGAUAAACACAUCUAAGGGCGGCCACAGUCUGGUACAGAUUAGAACUGGAUCAGAACCAGCCCAACAACAGACUGUAUAGGAACCUGCCUCGAAGUUCUGGUUUUGAACAGGACCAGAACUGAGAGGGCCGUGCGGUUUCGCUUCCAGCCCCAUAGGAACUACCAGUUCAACCAGCGGUUUUGGUUAAAAAAGGGGCUGAAAUGGGCCCAACAGCUCGCUGGAACCAGCAGGCCUAGAACUGCUGGUUCGAUGUGAACUGGCCAGGUUUACACACAAUGUUAUAGUUCUUGAAAACGUCCUCUCUUAGUAUUAUUUUAUAAUUAUAUUAAAAUUAGCUAAGACAUUUUCUUUGUAAAUUUUCCUUUUUGCAGGUCCCAGAAACUGCAAUUUAUUUUAUUGAAGAUGGUAAAAAAGUCCCAGCAACUUGAUUCUGAAUUAUAGGUACAAUUAUACAAAUGGAUAUUGGGGUGUGGUGUCUUCCUCUUAGCAUGGCAUCGUCUGACCUCAAUGUAAUCUCAAGGUAAAGGGACUAGAGAGCAGAAUUUAAUCACUAAUGAAAUAUUUUGUUACUCUAUAAGAUCUCUUGUUUUCCUAAUUUCUGAAAGUAGAAAGUCUUCAAAACUAAUGGGUGCAAGUUGUACAGGGCAGUUUUCUGUGCUGUUUGCUUUUUUGUUUUUUU